rnacentral:rRNA from 1 species
GAGUUUGAUCCUGGCUCAGGACGAACGCUGGCGGCGUGCCUAACACAUGCAAGUCGAACGGAGCUACUAUGGAAGCCUCUUCGGAGACGGAAGUUUUAGCUUAGUGGCGAACGGGUGAGUAACGCGUGAGGAACCUGCCUUUCAGAGGGGGACAACAGUUGGAAACGACUGCUAAUACCGCAUAACGUGCUUAGGGGGCAUCCCCUGAGUACCAAAGGAGCAAUCCGCUGAAAGAUGGCCUCGCGUCUGAUUAGAUAGUUGGUGGGGUAACGGCCUACCAAGUCGACGAUCAGUAGCCGGACUGAGAGGUUGAACGGCCACAUUGGGACUGAGAUACGGCCCAGACUCCUACGGGAGGCAGCAGUGGGGAAUAUUGGGCAAUGGGGGAAACCCUGACCCAGCAACGCCGCGUGAAGGAAGAAGGCUUUCGGGUUGUAAACUUCUUUUACCAGGGACGAAGGACGUGACGGUACCUGGAGAAAAAGCCACGGCUAACUACGUGCCAGCAGCCGCGGUAAUACGUAGGUGGCAAGCGUUGUCCGGAUUUACUGGGUGUAAAGGGCGUGUAGGCGGAGCAGCAAGUCAGAAGUGAAAUCUCCGGGCUUAACCCGGAAACUGCUUUUGAAACUGUUGCCCUUGAGUAUCGGAGAGGCAGGCGGAAUUCCUAGUGUAGCGGUGAAAUGCGUAGAUAUUAGGAGGAACACCAGUGGCGAAGGCGGCCUGCUGGACGACAACUGACGCUGAGGCGCGAAAGCGUGGGGAGCAAACAGGAUUAGAUACCCUGGUAGUCCACGCUGUAAACGAUGAAUACUAGGUGUGGGGGGACUGACCCCCUCCGUGCCGCAGUUAACACAAUAAGUAUUCCACCUGGGGAGUACGAUCGCAAGAUUGAAACUCAAAGGAAUUGACGGGGGCCCGCACAAGCAGUGGAUUAUGUGGUUUAAUUCGACGCAACGCGAAGAACCUUACCGAGGUUUGACAUCCCACUAACGAAGCAGAGAUGCAUUAGGUGCCCUUCGGGGAAAGUGGAGACAGGUGGUGCAUGGUUGUCGUCAGCUCGUGUCGUGAGAUGUUGGGUUAAGUCCCGCAACGAGCGCAACCCCUAUUGUUAGUUGCUACGCAAGAGCACUCUAGCGAGACUGCCGUUGACAAAACGGAGGAAGGCGGGGACGACGUCAAAUCAUCAUGCCCCUUACGCCUCGGGCUACACACGUAAUACAAUGGCGGUCAACAAAGGGAAGCAAAGCGGCGACGUGGAGCAAACCCCCAAAAGCCGUCUCAGUUCGGAUCGCAGUCUGCAACUCGACUGCGUGAAGUUGGAAUUGCUAGUAAUCGUGGAUCAGCAAGCCACGGUGAAUACGUUCCCGGGCCUUGUACACACCGCCCGUCACACCAUGAGAGUCGGGAACACCCGAAGUCCGUAGUCUAACCGCAAGGAGGGGCGCGGCCGAAGGUGGGUCUGAUAAUUGGGGUGAAGUCGUAACAAGGUAGCCGUAUCGGAAGGUGCGGCUGGAUCACCUCCCUU